GAAAUGCGAUAAGUAGUGUGAAUUGCAGAAUUCAGUGAAUCAUCGAAUCUUUGAACGCACAUUGCGCCCCUUGGUAUUCCAUGGGGCAUGCCUGUUCGAGCGUCAUCUGAACCCUCAAGCCCCCCCGGUGUUGCCCCGCCCAUGGCGCGGGCCACGCCCGGCUUGGUGUUGGGUGUCUGUCCCCGCCCCCCGCGCGGACUCGCCCUAAAUGCAUUGGCAGCGGCCACCCGGCUCCUCGCGCAGCACAUUGCGCAGUGGGGCGCGGAGAGGCGCGCGUCCAGCAAGCAAACCCCCCAAGUUUGACCUCGGAUCAGGUAGGGAUACCCGCUGAACUUAA
rnacentral:misc_RNA from 1 species